CUCAGCUAGAAACGACCGUACCGCAAACCAACACUGGUGCGCGAGAUGAGUAUUCUCAGGCGCUUGAGAGAACUCGGGAGAAGGAACUCGGCAAAUUGACACCGUAACUUCGGAAGAAGGUGUGCCUUGGUAGCUUGAGUGAGAACAUCACAAGGGCAAAGAGGUUGCAAUAAAAUGGUGGCUGCGACUGUUUAUUAAAAACACAGCACUCUGCAAACACGAAAGUGGACGUAUAGGGUGUGACGCCUGCCCGGUGCCGGAAGGUUAAGUGAUGGGGUGCAAGCUCUUGAUCGAAGCCCCGGUAAACGGCGGCCGUAACGAUAACGGUCCUAAGGUAGCGAAAUUCCUUGUCGGGUAAGUUCCGACCUGCACGAAUGGCGUAACGAUGGCCACACUGUCUCCUCCCGAGACUCAGCGAAGUUGAAAUGUUUGUGAUGAUGCAAUCUCCCCGCAGCUAGACGGAAAGACCCCAUGAACCUUUACUGUAGCUUUGCAUUGGAUUGCGAACCGAUUUGUGAGGAUAGGUGGGAGGCUUUGAAGUCAGGACGCUAGUCUUGAUGGAGCCAACCUUGAAAUACCACCCUGAUUUGUUCGCGGUUCUAACCUUGGCCCGUUAUCCGGGUCGGGGACAGUGCAUGGUGGGCAGUUUGACUGGGGCGGUCUCCUCCUAAAGAGUAACGGAGGAGUUCGAAGGUACGCUUGGUACGGUCGGAAAUCGUGCCUAAAGUGCAAUGGCAAAAGCGUGCUUGACUGUGAGUCUGACAAGACGAACAGGUGCGAAAGCAGGACAUAGUGAUCCGGUGGUUCUGUAUGGAAGGGCCAUCGCUCAACGGAUAAAAGGUACUCUGGGGAUAACAGGCUGAUACCGCCCAAGAGUUCAUAUCGACGGCGGUGUUUGGCACCUCGAUGUCGGCUCAUCUCAUCCUGGGGCUGUAGCCGGUCCCAAGGGUAUGGCUGUUCGCCAUUUAAAGAGGUACGUGAGCUGGGUUUAAAACGUCGUGAGACAGUUUGGUCCCUAUCUGCUGUGGGCGUUGGAGAUUUGACGGGGGCUGCUCCUAGUACGAGAGGACCGGAGUGGACGCACCUCUGGUGUACCUGUUGUCACGCCAGUGGCAUCGCAGGGUAGCUAUGUGCGGAAGAGAUAAACGCUGAAAGCAUCUAAGCGUGAAACUCGCCUGAAGAUGAGAUCUCCCUGGGGACUCGAUCCCCCUCAAGGGUCGUUCAAGACCAGGACGUUGAUAGGCCGGGUGUGGAAGCGCAGUAAUGCGUGAAGCUAACCGGUACUAAUUGCCCGUGAGGCUUGACCCC
rnacentral:rRNA from 1 species